GGAGGAGUUCUGGCCAGGAGCUGCCACCCAUCGUGACCCCGCAGAAGUUUGGAUACCUCUCAACGUCACACAGCCGUCUGCUUCUUCACAUAUGGCACUGCAUGUGAAGCCAGGAUCCUACUCUAGCCAGCCAGAGGUGACGGUGGCACUGGGAUCCAUACACCCACAAAGGGCAGGAUGCUGUAGAGCUGGUCUUCAGGAAUGCUCACGGAAACGUGUCCCCUGGGCUGCACUCACUUGACGGAGAUGGAGAACUCCCCCGGCGCGCUCUCGCUCUCACGGAUCAGGAAGGCUCCCACGUAUCUGCGCUUGAGGAGCAGCUCCUCCGCCACGUGCCGAGAGAUCCUCCCCGCGUACCACCUGCCAGGG